AUUGAACGCUGGCGGCAGGCCUAACACAUGCAAGUCGAGCUAGCGGCGGAAGGGUGAGUAAGGUCUGGGAAACUGCCUGAUGGAGGGGGAUAACUACUGGAAACGGUAGCUAAUAUCGCAUACCAUCAAAUGUGCCCAGAUGGGAUUAGCUAGUAGGUGGGGUAACUGCUCACCUAGGCGACGAUCCCUAGCUUGUCUGAGAGGUUGACCAGCCACACUGGAACUGAGACACGGUCCAGACUCCUACGGGAGGCAGCAGUGGGGAAUAUUGGACAAUUGGCGCAAGCCUGAUGCAGCCAGGCCGCGUGUGUGAAGAAGGCCUUGGGGUUGUAAAGCACUUUCAGCGGGGAGGCGUUACCCGCAGAAGAAGCACCGGCUAACUCCGUGCCAGCAGCCGCGGUAAUAC
rnacentral:rRNA from 1 species